rnacentral:rRNA from 1 species
UGCAAUUCGUUGCACUAUCGUUAACUGAAUACAUAGGUUAACGAGGCGAACCGGGGGAACUGAAACAUCUAAGUACCCCGAGGAAAAGAAAUCAACCGAGAUUCCCCCAGUAGCGGCGAGCGAACGGGGAGCAGCCCAGAGUCUGAAUCAGCUUGUGUGUUAGUGGAACGGUCUGGAAAGUCCGACGGUACAGGGUGAUAGUCCCGUACACCAAAAUGCACAGGUUGUGAACUCGAAGAGUAGGGCGGGACACGUGGUAUCCUGUCUGAAUAUGGGGGGACCAUCCUCCAAGGCUAAAUACUCCUGACUGACCGAUAGUGAACCAGUACCGUGAGGGAAAGGCGAAAAGAACCCCGGCGAGGGGAGUGAAAAAGAACCUGAAACCGUGUACGUACAAGCAGUGGGAGCACCUUCGGGUGUGACUGCGUACCUUUUGUAUAAUGGGUCAGCGACUUAUAUUCUGUAGCAAGGUUAACCGUAUAGGGGAGCCGCAGGGAAACCGAGUCUUAACUGGGCGUUAAGUUGCAGGGUAUAGACCCGAAACCCGGUGAUCUAGCCAUGGGCAGGUUGAAGGUUGGGUAACACUAACUGGAGGACCGAACCGACUAAUGUUGAAAAAUUAGCGGAUGACUUGUGGCUGGGGGUGAAAGGCCAAUCAAACCGGGAGAUAGCUGGUUCUCCCCGAAAGCUAUUUAGGUAGCGCCUCGUGAAUUCAUCUUCGGGGGUAGAGCACUGUUUCGGCUAGGGGGUCAUCCCGACUUACCAACCCGAUGCAAACUACGAAUACCGAAGAAUGUUAUCACGGGAGACACACGGCGGGUGCUAACGUCCGUCGUGAAGAGGGAAACAACCCAGACCGCCAGCUAAGGUCCCAAAGUCAUGGUUAAGUGGGAAACGAUGUGGGAAGGCACAGACAGCCAGGAUGUUGGCUUAGAAGCAGCCAUCAUUUAAAGAAAGCGUAAUAGCUCACUGGUCGAGUCGGCCUGCGCGGAAGAUGUAACGGGGCUAAACCAUGCACCGAAGCUGCGGCAGCGACACUAUGUGUUGUUGGGUAGGGGAGCGUUCUGUAAGCCUGCGAAGGUGACCUGUGAGGGUUGCUGGAGGUAUCAGAAGUGCGAAUGCUGACAUAAGUAACGAUAAAGCGGGUGAAAAGCCCGCUCGCCGGAAGACCAAGGGUUCCUGUCCAACGUUAAUCGGGGCAGGGUGAGUCGACCCCUAAGGCGAGGCCGAAAGGCGUAGUCGAUGGGAAACAGGUUAAUAUUCCUGUACUUGGUGUUACUGCGAAGGGGGGACGGAGAAGGCUAUGUUAGCCGGGCGACGGUUGUCCCGGUUUAAGCAUGUAGGCUGGUUGUCCAGGCAAAUCCGGAUAAUCAAGGCUGAGGUGUGAUGACGAGGCACUACGGUGCUGAAGUAACAAAUGCCCUGCUUCCAGGAAAAGCCUCUAAGCAUCAGGUAACAUCAAAUCGUACCCCAAACCGACACAGGUGGUCAGGUAGAGAAUACCAAGGCGCUUGAGAGAACUCGGGUGAAGGAACUAGGCAAAAUGGUGCCGUAACUUCGGGAGAAGGCACGCUGGUGUGUAGGUGAAGUCCCUGCGGAUGGAGCUGAGACCAGUCGAAGAUACCAGCUGGCUGCAACUGUUUAUUAAAAACACAGCACUGUGCAAACACGAAAGUGGACGUAUACGGUGUGACGCCUGCCCGGUGCCGGAAGGUUAAUUGAUGGGGUUAUCCGUAAGGAGAAGCUCUUGAUCGAAGCCCCGGUAAACGGCGGCCGUAACUAUAACGGUCCUAAGGUAGCGAAAUUCCUUGUCGGGUAAGUUCCGACCUGCACGAAUGGCGUAAUGAUGGCCAGGCUGUCUCCACCCGAGACUCAGUGAAAUUGAACUCGCUGUGAAGAUGCAGUGUACCCGCGGCAAGACGGAAAGACCCCGUGAACCUUUACUAUAGCUUGACACUGAACAUUGAGCCUUGAUGUGUAGGAUAGGUGGGAGGCUUUGAAGCGUGGACGCCAGUCUGCGUGGAGCCAACCUUGAAAUACCACCCUUUAAUGUUUGAUGUUCUAACGUUGGCCCCUUACCGGGGUUGCGGACAGUGUCUGGUGGGUAGUUUGACUGGGGCGGUCUCCUCCCAAAGCGUAACGGAGGAGCACGAAGGUUAGCUAAUCCUGGUCGGACAUCAGGAGGUUAGUGCAAUGGCAUAAGCUAGCUUGACUGCGAGCGUGACGGCGCGAGCAGGUGCGAAAGCAGGUCAUAGUGAUCCGGUGGUUCUGAAUGGAAGGGCCAUCGCUCAACGGAUAAAAGGUACUCCGGGGAUAACAGGCUGAUACCGCCCAAGAGUUCAUAUCGACGGCGGUGUUUGGCACCUCGAUGUCGGCUCAUCACAUCCUGGGGCUGAAGUAGGUCCCAAGGGUAUGGCUGUUCGCCAUUUAAAGUGGUACGCGAGCUGGGUUUAGAACGUCGUGAGACAGUUCGGUCCCUAUCUGCCGUGGGCGCUGGAGAAUUGAGGGGGGCUGCUCCUAGUACGAGAGGACCGGAGUGGACGCAUCACUGGUGUUCGGGUUGUCAUGCCAAUGGCACUGCCCGGUAGCUAAAUGCGGAAGAGAUAAGUGCUGAAAGCAUCUAAGCACGAAACUUGCCCCGAGAUGAGUUCUCCCUGAGACUU